GCAAAGAGGAUAGAAAUGACAGUGGAACAGAAAAGAGAUCAUGGAGAUAGACCGUCAGACAGAUGGAAAUUUGUAGAGAGAAUAUCCCAAGUUGACCUUUCAUCCAGACUCCAAGGAUCUGAAGAGAUGGCCCUCUGACCGUAUUUAGGAUCAGGAAGUGGAUUAACUAUCAGCAAGGGUGACCAAUGAGGGUAAAAUUUCAUCAUUUGGAGAGUUCACUUGUGCAGGAAAGUUUAUUUGCUGAUGUUGCCAGGUUUUCUUUAGGAGCUGUCUGCAUAUGAUGGUUGACACAAAGACCUGAAGUUCUGUGUGGAUGAUGAGCAAUAAGCACUUCAACUUAGGGUGUUGCCAGGUUCCGCUGGCCUGCUGAGAGAUCACUGUUCUUCACUGUGGACUCAAACUACGCAGAGAUGCUUUUUCUGAAAGAGAUUUGAGGAACAAAAUGUUUUGAUGAUGCCAUUUUCCCUGGGCGCUGUAUAUGGUCACAACGGUUUUUGUG